rnacentral:rRNA from 1 species
UACGUAGGGUGCGAGCGUUAAUCGGAAUUACUGGGCGUAAAGCGUGCGCAGGCGGUGAGCUGUGUCCGAUGUGAAAGCCCCGGGCUUAACCUGGGAAUGGCAUUGGAAACUGGCUCGCUGGAGUGUGGCAGAGGGGGGUGGAAUUCCGCGUGUAGCAGUGAAAUGCGUAGAGAUGUGGAGGAACACCGAUGGCGAAGGCAGCCCCCCUGGGCUAACACUGACGCUCAUGCACGAAAGCGUGGGGAGCAAACAGG